AUUGAACGCUGGCGGCAUGCCUUACACAUGCAAGUCGAACGGCAGUACGGGAGCAAUCCUGGUGGCGAGUGGCGAACGGGUGAGUAAUGUAUCGGAACGUGCCCAGUCGUGGGGGAUAACGUAGCGAAAGCUACGCUAAUACCGCAUACGAUCUACGGACGAAGGCGGGGGAUCGGAAGACCCCGCGCGCUUGGAGCGGGCGAUAUCAGAUUAGGUAGUUGGGGGGUAAAGGCCCACCAAGCCUGGGAUCUGUAGCUGGUCUGGGAGGACGACCAGCCACACUGGAACUGAGACACGGUCCAGACUCCUACGGGAGGCAGCAGUGGGGAAUUUUCGACAAUGGGCGCAAGCCUGAUCCAGCAAUGCCGCGUGCAGGAUGAAGGCCUUCGGGUUGUAAACUGCUUUUGUACGGAACGAAACGGCUUUUUCUAAUACAGAGAGCUAAUGACGGUACCGUAAGAAUAAGCACCGGCUAACUACGUGCCAGCCGCCGCGGUAA
rnacentral:rRNA from 1 species